AUGAAAUUAAUUAUUGGGACAUGAAAAUAUUAUAUAAAUUCUGGUUAAAUGAAGCCGAUGAUCUGAUAUAGGUAUACCGUACUCAUUCUUUAGUCUUGAGACUUUCCUCUCUUUCACCACUUUUUCUUCUCCUCUUCUCUUUUAUGUACCUUAUUGUCGUCACAAUCUCACCUUCUCGUUCCAAACAAAUUUUUUCCCCUGCUAGCUUAGAAAGUGAAAGAAACUGGAGGUAGGAAGACGAGGCUUAUGGUGGCGUCUCCCCGAAGUGGAAUCUAGGGCGCGGCGGAAGCCAUAGGCUUGAAAGAAGGGGAAGUGAAAGGCGGAGGACUUUCGAGUUUUAUUGGCCGAGAGGCUAGGGCACGGUGUAAUUUGGUUCGAUCUCGGUGUGGAAGCUCGGGGAAUCAGCUUAUUGCGUAGUGGUUUUGUGGUUGUGGGAUUUUGGAAACCUUAGAUUUGGGUCAGGGUUGUGUGGUUGGCUGAUUAAGCUAGGGGCGGGGCUGCCCUUGCGAUUGACUGGGUUUUCAUGCUGUCUAAACCACUGCCUUGGGAUCGGAAGGACUUCUUCAAGGAGAGGAGAGGAAGCACGAGAGGUCGGAGUCUUUAAGUUUGCUGCAAGAUAGAGGACUCGCAUCAGGGUUCUUGGGAGUUUGCUCGCCGGAAUCGGCAGACUUGCGCCGUCCUACAGAAGCACGAGAGGUCUGAGUCUUUAGGUUUGCUGCAAGAUAGAGGGACUCGCAUCAGGUUCUUGGGAGUUUGCUCGCCGGGAUCGGUAGACUUUCGCCCCCCUACAGGUUUCUCAGAUGCUCAAUUCAUCUGCAACAUUUGGAGAUAUGAUGAUAGACAAGAAGAUCAAAUUGAAAUUUUGAAUUAUUCACAAGCUGUCCAGACCCAUAUGAGAACAACUGUCAUUUAUUUGUCUUGAAAAUUCUAGGACAUAGGAAAGAGACAGAAGUAUUGACAGGCAACCAACUUCAAUAAAAUCAUUCAACAACCAAAUGGCUCAUGGUGAGUUUUCUGGCUUUGGGAGGACCAUUGUUUUCUACUUCAUAACUAUUUAUGAGUACAAUAAUGUGCUUGUUCCUUCAAAAAGUAAAAUAAAGUUAAAAAAGUUAGAUUUUUGUUGAAUGAAGGGAUGAAUUUUCUACUUGUGUUUAGUGGUAUCCAGAACUAAAUAUCUCAGCUAAGAAAUCCAAUAUCUAGCAUUAUUUGAAGUCCUCUUGCAUAGGUCAUGGGGAGUUUGCUACACCUAUGGAACAUGGUUUGGGAUAGAGGGGUUGUUGGCUCUGGUGUCAAGAUCUAUGAAAAUAGCUCAAUCAUCAGAAAAGCUUGUGAUUUUCUACCAUCGAUAUAGCUUGAUUCUGGUGAUUGGGGAGAGAGUAACCUUUCAUGCCAAAUCAAGGUAACAGUCAAAGCUAUCUAAGUUGAUAGUGUGAUUUUAACAUCUGUUGAAACCAAAAUAAAGAGUCUUCUCAAAUUUUAAUAAAUAUUAGCUAUGGAAAUAACACUUGAUGAGAAAAUGAUUUCAGGCAGGCAAAUAUUCUUGACCUCAUUAAUUUGAUUGAAUUACACAAAGACAUUGGUUUCAAUCAGCCUAUCAACAUGAAGGAUCUAACUCUGACACUUUAGCUAGAAUUUCAAUCAUUUCAAAGUUCUUAGACACACAUUUUAUCGAGUCUUACAGUUUUCUAUCAACAAAAUUUAAAAAAAAAAAAAAAAUCAAAUUUUAGUUGCAAAAGACAUUUGAUUCAUUGCAGCAAAAUAGAUUCCUCCAAUUCGUGAGAACAAGUAAACCUGGAAAGGAACAAAUCAUAGCUAGUGAACAUUGGAUGAGCAAUGUUGUCUCUCAUUGCAACUGGGCAGUUAGGUCUCCUAUCAUAUUCUAAUACCAAGGAUACUAAUUCAAUACUUAUCAUCACUUCACUUUAAACAUUGACAGAACCAACCUGGCUGCAUUUUGCAGCAAAGGUGCUCAUUAAUUCCCAAAUGGAAAAAGGAGAUUUUCCACAACAGGUUAGAUGUCUUAGCUUUCAACUAAUUAUAUACCAGAAGAAGUUAGUUACUGAAUGAGAAAUUGUUGUAAUUUUGAGUAAUUUAGAGUUGUGUUUUGUUUUGUUUUUUGCUUUUUUCAAUGAAGAAAGGCAUUGUGCCUUAACUAUACAGAUGUUACACAAAAUUUUCCUAUCAAUUUUGGAAAGUUCAAAUAUGUGGUCUCUGCUUAUGAUUUUUUUUUCUUUUUCUGCUGUGGGAUUACUUUUAUGAGAUUUUUAAUGUACUGAUUAAGCAUUUAUUUUCUUCCAUUACCAGAGAAAUUUAUGAAGUUUAUCAUUGGCCCUGUCUUGCUCAUUCAAUUCCCAUCCAAGAAAGUCUAUUUCUCCCUCCAACAAUUGUCCAUCUUGUUUAUGCUUGUAUUUUAGGCAACUUAAUAUAGAAUAACCAGGCACUAAAUCCGGUUUAUUUUUCUUAUAUCGUUCCUAACAGCUCAUGAUUACACUGUCAAAUUUUUAUAGCGUGAUAAUAAUUUAGAGAUACCUUUAAAUACAAAAUGGAUCAUCAUGUUCUUAUCCUAAUGAUCAUAUGCUAAGCAUUAGUGUUGAUGAUUAGGUAGUUUGAUUAAGAACUCAAAGCUAGUCAGAACAAGAGGUUAGUGUGAAACCCAUCACAAAAUUUGGUUGGAUGUCAAACCUGGUCCAAGAAUUCAACUAGAACAUAAUUUAAUUUGACUGAAUUUCAAACUCUUGAAUACACCAGAUAACAUUUAGAGAUCCAAAUAGCAUCAGUAUAAUUAUAAAGAAUUUCCUAUGCCCCAAGAAGCUUUGGGAUUUGAUUUGAUGUUACAGAAAAACAACUAACAAGUAUUUUGGAAACAGAGUGUUUCAUAUUAUACAUGCCUAACAAUUAUCAUAAAUCUCAAGUAAAAUUAGACCAUAAUGAUACAGCACAUAAAUAGAACAAAGGCAAGUAUAUCAGCAAGAUCAAAUAAAAUCUCCAAAGUCAAGUUCUAGGUGCCAUAUAGAGAUCUUGCUGUAAGAUUCCCAGUUUUAGUUGGUCUUUUUUUAUUUUUUUGGCUACUCUGCCUUUCUACUAUCUCAUUAAAGAAUCCUUGAAUGCUGGGUGAAAUUAUAACAUGCCUAGAAACACAUAAUGCAUGCUGCAGCUCCCAACCAAUCAUGUACAUUACUACAUGCGAGUUAAUUCCGAAGAGCAUCUGACCAACCAAUAUCAUAUGACACAGGAAUCAAGUAAAUAAAGUAUCCAUGGCAUUCAAUUCAGAGAAAUACUGCGUCUAGCGACAGUUGUCAAGAGAACAGAUGAAAAGGAAACGAAUUUGGACACUUUUCUUUGCAAUGAGCAAUGUUGGUGAGAUUUAUAUACACUGGAUCUGUAGAAAUUAUAUUGGAUAUUGCACAAGAUCUCCUCAUAGCUACUGAUCAGUAUCUCUUGCAGGGAUAAAGCGUCCCUGUGAGUGUACCAUUACCCAUGAUAUAUCACUGGAAAAUGUUUCAAGAAUGCAUGAGCUUUCAGAAGCCUUCCGUGCUAUUUCCUUAAGACACACAUGCCUCUUGUCUAUCUUGGAGCAGUUUAGUAAACUGAGUUCUAGGCCGGUGUGGAGCAUCUGGAAAACAUAAGAAUACAUUAUCACCAGACACUCAAACGUUGGAGGACAAAUUUCUUGGACAAUCAGAGGAGGGUUGUUUCCAUUGUAUGAGCUUCCUAUGUACAUUUUAUAUAUCCUUAAUAUGGCGGGGUGUGAUUAUUUUAUUGAUCAAAGAGAGACAGUAGGUAUACACAUAUUAAGGUAUACGUAAACUUUAUCAAGUUGAUGCUGUUGAUUUUCUCUACUUCUUUCCAGAAACUAAUACCAAAUUAUAGCUUGAUCCUUAUCUACAAACUAGUAGAUCAAGGCUGGACCUUACUGUGCCUAGACUGAAAGUUUUCAGACACACUUUUAUUAUAGAUCAAGCUAAUGUUGUUUCAACUCUCACUUCUCACAGCUUGUCUUUGUUCCUCACACUCUUUGAAGAUUCUAUUUAAAUGUCGCAUGGAAUUUGUGAAACUUGGCAUUUAAAAGUGUGGUAAAUAAUCUCAUUCUUCAUGAUGUAGGCAUUGAAUUAAAAUCAUUUCAUGCAUUAGAACAAGUGUUUUAGAAAAACUGAGAUACAAGGUUGGAAUUAUUUUUCAUUUCUUUAAUACAUUGAGAAAAUUGAGUAUGAUAUCAAGGUUUGAAUUAUUGAGUAUGAAAGCAUUUAAUCAUUUCAAUUUUUCUUUACUAGAACCUCUUUUGAUGAUCUUGGUCCCUUUGAUGGUGUCUUGCAAGAGAAUGGUAUCAUCUAUUGUCCUCAAGUAUUGUUAUCAGAUUAUUCCAUAUCAUCUAAUCGAAAAACUAUGAAAAUUCUUACAAUAGAUGAUUGAGAAAAUCACAUUGUCUAGUUAGAUGAACAUUUAGAUAUUUAUUACAUAGGUUACACAUGUGAGGCUUAUUAUAAUUAAAUAUAAGAUCUGUGGUUUUUUACUUGUUCUGACUGAUUCCACUCUCUUUGAUGGUGCUUUGUAGGAGAAUGGUUUUUAUGCUGAGUUUGGUCUUGAUGUUUCUUAAGAUGCAAUAAUUGAUUUUGUUUCCUAAAGGGCAGAGAUUGAAAUUGUUUAUGGUGUUUCUGUGGAGAAGAGCUUGAUUGGCCACUGUGCACCUUUGUUGUCGAUGCUUUGUAGAAAUUUUGGUUUGAUGCAAGAGGUGUGGCUCUCCCUCUUCACUUCUCAUAGCUAUGUCUAUGUUCCUCACAUUAUUUGAAGAUUCUGUUUAAACUCCACAUGGAAUUUACAAACCUUGACAUUUGAAUGUGUGGUAAGUAAUCUCAUCCUUCAUGAUGGAGGUAUUGAGCUAAAAGCUUUUAGCCUGACAUUGGCCUUGAUUUUGGAAGUUUAGACUAGAUUUUUUCUUAAAAUUCAAAAAAAUUCAUUUAUAAGGUGAAAAUAGUUUUUUUUUUUCCCACUAUUUUUGAAAUUUAAAUUUCCUUUGAAUUUUAAUAUUUUAUUAUGCUUUUGGGAACAUAUGUUAUUUUGUGAAUUGGAGUGUUGGAUAUUUUUAUAUGCAUAUAUGCUAUUCUUUUGUAGAUGUUAGAUGAAGGAAAUAUAUUUCAUAUUAACGUACCAUUCACUAAAAAUCAUUGGUGUUGUCAUUAUGGUAUUUUACAUUAUUACUAUGGAUGCAAUUGUAAUUUACCCUAGACCUAUAUCGUGCCGUACAAAUGGAGUGGCGCACUGUAGCCAAUUAACCUAGUAAUCUUUUAUGCCAAGAGAUAAAGGGGCACUAGAGCAGUUUGUAUGAGAAGUGUGUUGAGAGAUGUAGGGAUACUGUGUCUAUAAGGCACCAUGAUAUUUGAGACAUAUGUCGCAUGCGGUUGCAUAUUUGAUACAUGUUGAUGGAGGAAAGGGCAUUGUAGCAGUUAUAUUGCAUAUGUGCCGAGAGUUGGAGUGGCAUUGUAGCCAUGGAUUAUGCAUGUGUUUGAUUGAUUAGACAUAGGGUCGUCCAAUGUUGCAUGUCUACUUGAUUGUUAUACCAUAUAUUAUCUACGUUGAAUGUUACCUACAUGAUAAAACUCCUCUUUCUACUUUGGACUGACCAUCCUACAACCUGUAUUAUAUGAUCAUUCACUGAGUUAUUCACUUUGUAGUUCCUUAAAUUUUUUAGACGAGGACCUAGUAGAACCAAAUACCAAGCAAGUUCUGGAGGAUGGUCAACAAGGCAUAUAAAUGUUGUUGCCUUUUCCUUUGCUUCUUUUUGGAUAGACUACUGGCAUGUAGCCAUUUUCUUAGGUAUGUACAAGUUUUCGAUCCCUUAAGACCAGCUUUUAUGUAUGCAAAACUGUUUAUCUCGGACAUAGUAAUGAAUUUAUGGUUCCUUAAAUAUGCAUCCUUGUAUUGCUUUGACACAGUAUAUCUUGUCACAAGUUAAUUUUCUUUCAUAGGAUAGUAUCUACAUCUUAGUCUUCAGACUAGGGAAGAGACACUGUCUUGCGUGGAUGGCGCCUGCAAGGGUGGGUCGUCACAUUUUUUGUACAUAUUAACCAUAUUUUGUGGUUUUAAUAUGUUUUUCUUCUUACUCAAACUUGUAUGAGUAUCAUUUAAUAUCUUUGAUGCAGUGUUUUUCUAUGUUGAAGAGCAAGAUGCAUUUGAUGUGUAUUCCAUAAUCAAUGGCUUCUCUAGUCUUACCCUUUCUUGUAAAAUGUAAAGUAGAUGUUGUAUAGUCUUAGGUCCAAUCUCAGUGUUCUUCCAAAUCUGAAUUCUCUUUUUUGAGUUUCUGACAAUCAUGUUGAUGAUGUACUAAUUCUUGAUCAGGUGGCCUUGCAUCGAAAUGCUUUUAAAAUCUAUACUUUUUUUUUCCCAACAACAACCCUAAGGUACUCUUCCAUUUUAUGUGCAUGUGUGUCUUAUUUAUUUAUUUAUUUGAUAAGUAUGUGCAUGUGUGUCAUAUUGGGAAGUUGCUACUAAUUUAUGAAAGUGUUCUUGUAAUGGAUUUAGGCAGUACUAGUUGUAGGAAGAAACAACCUAUACACUCUUGGAAUUGGAAACAACAGAGGGGUUAGAUACUCAACUCCAUGAGACCAUAUGGAAAUUACUUAUUUUUUGUUGUAAAUCAAGUUGGGUGAGUAGUUGGAUUUAUUUUAAUUUUAUUUUGCAUGUUUAUCUUUGUAGGUUUAAUUUACAUCUCUUGUACACUAUGGUUAAGAACACAAUACCGUUAAAAGAUUGAAAGACAAAAGAUGCUCUCUGUGAUUUAAUGGGGACAUGUGCUACCAAAUACCACUAUAUGGUGCAAUCAUGUGUUGUUGGUAGUUUGGUUGGUUCUCCUAUCAUAGAGGUUGGAAGGACAAACCGAAAAGACUAUGUGAAGGACAAAGUUGGGGCUAUAAAUAUCAGACGUUGCUUUCUUGUGGAGCUCGUUGAUAGAUUUGCAAAGUUGAUUUUAGCCAACACAGGUUGUCCUGUAUUUUCUCAGGACUAGUCCACUUAUGAAGCCGUGGAGAAUGUGUUUGUUACCAUAUAUAUCAAGAAAAGUUUGUUUUCUUUUAUUAUCCUACAUAUUCAUGGCAUCUAAACAAGUGGGGUAAAUCUUUUGGUUCAUGAUUUAUAUUCAGUUUUCUUAUCAAUGGUGUUUUUUCCCAUCAACAAUUGAUAAAACCCUCAAAUAUUCUCAACUGUGAGAAAUGGGAAGAAAAGCAAAAAUAAAAAAUUAAAAUUAACAAUCAAUUGAACAUUUGAGUAAUCCAUUGUUUUUUUUUAUAUUAUUUUUUAAUAAUUUUUAUUUGAUACCUGGUGAACAAACUCUCUCUUGUGCAUCAAAUUCAACCAUUCUAUGUAUUUGAGUUAAGUUUUCACUUUCCAAGUUAGAUUCAAAUAUCUAUUUUAUUCUCAUUAGUCAUUUUUCUAAGUAAAGAUAUUGACAUUAGUUAUUUUGUAUAUUUUAACCAUUUUUUUUUUAAAGGAUUUUAAUCUUUUUUUCUUCUUAUGCAAAUAGAUGUAUUAUUUGAUCUCUCUUGGAAAGUGCUUUUCUGUCUCGAAGAGUAAGACGUGUUUGAUCAUGUAUGUUCAUUAAUCAAAGGUUUCUCUAGUCUCACACUAUCUUGUAAAUUAAAUCUUGGGGAGAGUCCUAGGCCCAAUCUGAGCGUUCUUCCAAAGGUGGAUUCUCCAUCUCGAGUUACUUACGAUCUGUUGAUAAUGUACUGAUCCUUGAUUGGGUAGCCUCACAUUGGAUUGCUUUUAAAACCUAUACUUUUUUGCUUCUCAAUAUUGUCCUCAUUCUGGGGUCUAAUAUUGGUUUCAACAACUCCAAGGUUGCUUGAACUGCAUGCUUGAAUCGGAUGCAUUACUCUUACAAGUUUUCUAAAGAGCGAAAGAAAAACCUAUUGUCUAAUAAUGAGACCCUGAUAUUUGGCAUUCUGAAAAGCUUAAUCACCGGUUUUUGGCUGCCAGAUAACUUAUGGUAUGCGGUUACUGAUAAUGUUAUUGAUUUUAUUUAUGCAAUUCAUCCAACUACUGAAACCUUUGACUUGAGGAAAAUGUCUCUUAGUUGCAAAAUUACAUUGAAAGUGGUAUCAUGCGUCCUUUCAAUUGUUCUUGUAACAAAACUUAGUAGAUAUUUAUUCAUUAUGUGCCAUAUUGCUAUUAACCAAUUGACGCAUAUGGUGUCAUGUAUCUAAAUAGAAAUCUUAAUUGACAGUUUUGGCUGCCAGGAAACAUAAUGGUAUGCUGCUGCUGAUAAUGUUAUUGCUGCUAUUUAUGCUACUCAUCCAACUCCUAUGGAGAAAUAUGGAAGUUGUGGUUGAAAAGGUUUUAAUGCAUGACUUCAUUAUAAGAUAUAAUGUCAUGGCACCUACGCUUGGACUAGUCUCUUAUUUACCCAUAUUGGAGACAUACUUCAUUAAUAACCUAGCAAGGGACACUUUUCUUUGCCAUGAGCAAUGUUGGUGAGAUUUAUAUACACUGGAUCUGUAGAAAUUAUAUUGGAUAUUGCACAAGAUCUCCUCAUAGCUACUGAUCAGUAUCUCUGGCAGGGAUAAAGCGUCCCUGUGAGUGUACCAUUGCCCAUGUGGAAGCUGAGAGAUCUUAUCAUCAAACUGUACUUGCUACUUUAGAGAAACUAUACGAUGAGUAUAACAAAGAUUAUGACUGGAAUACUUUCUCCACAUGUUUAUUAUUGGAAUUAGAUGAUUAUGGAGAAGAAACGAAACGAGUCUUCAUCUCAGCCAAUAACUAUGGAGAAAGAUGUUUGCGUUCCUACCACAUCCAAGGAUGCAAAUUCAAAUGGAUUUGACGAUCAUGGACAUGCAAAUCAAAAUGGUUCAUACUUUAUUGCAAAAGUAAAGUCUUUGAUCGCCUAGACCAUCCAUUAAUUACUGUCUAUGGAUUACUCACUGUUUUAUUAAAAUUGAUUGAUAUUGGAAAUUCCCAGUUCUUAUAGGGCAGCUCACUGUAUAUUGCUUCACUUACUCCAUUCUUUUUUUUCUUUCGUAAUCUGUUUCAUUGCCCUAUUGGCGACUAUUUCACCACAUCAAAUUAUAUUUUGCAGCUUAUCAUCCUCUCAUGCUAGGUGUUGUGUUACAGAAUAAAGUAUCUUUUGUACACUAUUCUUAAAUGAAUGGGAAUAUAUUAUUCAAUUUAUGUAGGCAAUGACCAUAAUGUUGUGUAGAGGUCAAAUAACCUUUUUAUCCACAUCCGAGGAAUUAUGGCAUCCUUCGUUACAAGUUUACUCUUGGGCUUGUUCUAGGAAGUGUUUGAUAAUGGGAGAACCACAAAUUCACAGUUUAAAAGAGUUUUUGGUUAAGAUCUAGGGGAACUUUUCUUGGGGUCUAGAGUAAGUUUCGGUGGAGCCAAAAUUUGGCAUUUCAGAGCUUCAGUUGGUUCUAGAAUGUUAAAGGACAAAAUUUAUUCUUUCCUUGUUUUAUUUCUAAUGGCAAAAAAAAAAAAAAAAUUGAAAUUUUUCAUAAAUAUGUUUAUAAAAACCUAGAUGGCUGUAUAAUUUUGAAUUAAAUCUGCAGAAUAGGAUUGUUUCAAGGAAAUAGAAAAAUAUAACUUUCUAAACAAACUGAUGACCUUUGUGUAUACCUUGGGGGUUCCUAAUAAUGAAUUCUUGGCUCCAUUUGUGAAUGGCUUCACUAUGUAUCUUCUGUCUGCAACCCUUGUUUUUGUCUGUGGUAGCUGAACUAUCAUGAGAAGUUUGUGUCAGUGUCAUUUAAUAUUUUCUUAGUGGACUUCUCAUUUUUAAGUAUUAUCUUCUUGUUCUUUCAUC